UACGUAGGGUGCAAGCGUUGUCCGGAAUUAUUGGGCGUAAAGAGCUCGUAGGCGGUCUGUCGCGUCGGCUGUGAAAACCUGGGGCUCAACCCCGGGCCUGCAGCCGAUACGGGCAGACUAGAAUUCGGUAGGGGAGACUGGAAUUCCUGGUGUAGCGGUGAAAUGCGCAGAUAUCAGGAGGAACACCGGUGGCGAAGGCGGGUCUCUGGGCCGAUAUUGACGCUGAGGAGCGAAAGCGUGGGGAGCGAACAGG
rnacentral:rRNA from 1 species